rnacentral:rRNA from 1 species
GACGAAGGGGGCAAGCGUUGUCCGGAAUUAUUGGGCGUAAAGAGCUCGUAGGCGGUCUGUCGCGUCUGUUGUGAAAACUCGAGGCUCAACCUCGGGCUUGCAGUGGAUACGGGCAGACUAGAGUGCGGUAGGGGAGACUGGAAUUCCUGGUGUAGCGGUGGAAUGCGCAGAUAUCAGGAGGAACACCGAUGGCGAAGGCAGGUCUCUGGGCCGCAACUGACGCUGAGGAGCGAAAGCAUGGGGAGCGAACAGG